UACAGAGGUGGCAAGCGUUGUUCGGAAUUACUGGGCGUAAAGGGCGCGUAGGCGGCCAUCUAAGUCAGACGUGAAAUCCCCCGGCUUAACCUGGGAACUGCGUCUGAUACUGGACGGCUUGAGUAUGGGAGAGGGAUGUAGAAUUCCAGGUGUAGCGGUGAAAUGCGUAGAUAUCUGGAGGAAUACCGGUGGCGAAGGCGGCAUCCUGGACCGACAUUGACGCUGAACGGCGAAAGCUAGGGGAGCAAACAGG
rnacentral:rRNA from 1 species